UACCCGUCUAAAGGAAACUGACUUACGUCAAUUCUUUAUUAUUAUUUACUAGAUGCAUCGAAGUAGAGAUAAAUGGGGUAAACAGCUCCCUCUCACCUUGUCAAAAGGGCUAGGGCUAGAUAGAAAUGCUGGACAAGUAAACUACGUGCCGCCAUCUCCGCAGGAAAACAAAAUGGCGGGCCAGAAUGAAUUUAUCGACUUGAAAAGGAAAAGGGGGAAUAUCCCCAGCGUUGUCCAGCCAAGUGGUGUUGAGUCCCGAACCGCCCAGUUAACUCGAAAGCCAGUGCCUGUUACUAUAAAUGAACUCAAGAUAAAACAGACUCUCCAGCAGGCUUUCAAAGCUGAGCCUGUUUCAAAAGGAUUCACACAGCAUCCGACCUUGCCAAACUUUAAUCAACUGCCGGAUCCUACACUAGCGCAUGAGGAAAAGGCAUGGAAGAAAAUUAGAUCAGUGACAACUGAUCAGCCAACGAAGACAUUCACAGAAGGCCCUCCAUUGCCUCUGGCUGAAGAUGGGAAUGCCAAUGAAUUUGGUGUGGAUUUGAGAAAGGACACUAGCAAAGCAUUUGAGUGUGGGGUAAACCUUAAGUCAGAUGUUCCGGCUAACAGAUACACACCAGGGACUGUGAAGUAUACAACAUCAGAUGCUCUUAAAGAUAUGGUCAAUGAUUUACAAAUAUUCCAUGAAAAAAACACUGGCUGUAUAGUAAAUGGGACAUGUGCCCCAGAAUUUGACUGCUAUGACGAUGGAAUACAUUUUGUGCAGGGACAAUGUCUCGGCCGUGGCUCCUAUGGUGUAGUUGAUUUAUGUUACGAUUCGAAAACACAACAACCGUUUGUCAGGAAACAGGUGUCGAAGAAAAUGCUGAGAUCUAGUGAGAUCAUUGUACCAUCAACCCUAAAUCACUACAACAUUACAAAGUUCUAUGGUCUUAUACAACGUUCUAGCCAGGAGGAGGAGGGGAAUCCAACCAUGGAGUUGCUGCUAGAAUAUGGUGGACAUGCUCUAAACAAGUAUUAUCAGCAGGGGAAUAAGCUGACAGAUGCACAGAAGUGGGAAGUUUCAAAGCAAGGAUUUGCCGCCUUAGUUCACAUCAGUAAUUACAGAAUAGUUCACCUUGACAUCAAACCGGAGAAUAUUUGUAUUGACGUCAGGCCAGAUACAUCUGUUGUAGUAAAACUGACGGACUUUGGCUCAUCAAGGCUACCACAAGAGCCGUUGAAAUUUGUGGGUUUGACACCAGAGUAUAUGGCUCCUGAACUUUGCAAGAUGUUCCUGCAGUCACAACAAUCGGCACUAGAUUUUGGCCUUACAGAAGAGGAUAUAACUGGAAAAGUAGACACAUUUGCCUUCGGACUUGUGAUCAUGUACCUGUAUAAAGGGUACCAUAUUCUUGUCAAGGUCAUUAAUAACGGGAAUACAAGCUACGAUGGAGUAGAUCAAAAUACAAGAAAACUGAUGCACAUGAACUUAAUGGCACUGAUGGCUGACAAUCGCACAGAAUUUGUGCACAACCUGAUUCCCGACGAGUGUGACAUUGACAUGAGAGAUCUACUGUUGAAGCUUACACGACACCAACAUCAGGAUCGUUACAGUGCAAGACAGGCUCUUGACUACAUUGAAGAUAAGGAAAGGAGAAAUAAGAUGACAACAAGACCAGAGCAGAGAGAAAGAGAAGUGUACAAUCCUCUUCAAGGUCAGGUGCCAAACAUUUUAUACUGCAACAUGGAUAUGGAAAUACCAGAAAUAGCUGAAGAUUGUAUGGAAAGCGAGAAUGGCCCAGUGAAGAACAAAACGAAGGAUGCCCUACGCAUGAAGCUGAACCCUUACAACAGGGCUGACAAGAAGGGCAACAAGUUAGGAAGUAGCAAGACAACAUGUCCUCAGUCACCGAUGGAUGAGAUGAAUGAUCUAAGAGAAGGAAUAGCCAGCAAACAGAUGCCAAUGACUCCAAUAAUGGAGUUCCAGGAUCUAAGUCUUGGUCAGUGUUUGCCGGAGACAAUUGUAGAAGAAGAUACAAGCUCAGUCUCGUCGAUGACAGAAAGGAAUGCUCCAAUAACUCAUCCUUCAGAAGCAACUGAUAGCGUGAGCCAAGUGCCACAGCAAGCCCAACAAGUACCAGCAUUCAGUGGUGUUGGACCUAGCCAACAAGUGCCGGUCGGAUUUAAUUGUAUCAGGCCUACGGUUAGACCGAUGGAAAAUGACAAUAUUGUCUCUCUUAGUGGUAAAGGAGCACAGUACUCCAUUGCAGCACAGCAGCCGCAAGUAUAUAUACCACAAGAACUGAUACAGAAAUUAUUGGUGAAGAAAAUGAUGGAGAAAUUUGUCAAGGAUCAGCAGGCAAUGAGAGCACAAUCAACAGUACAGCCAGAGUUUCAACAAAGAAGGGUGGUGAAAACAGAGCCAAACGUUCAGCCAGAGGUUAUAAACCUGGACAGCUUGACAGAUGAAAGCGGCCAAAUGCUGGCUGGUGUGAAAACUUUUGGGAAUAGUCCAAUGCAAAUGGAGGAGGAGGAGAGUAAUGGGCCUGCACUCCCAAAAUUUUCGAUGUUCUCGUAAAGUGGACUGAUCCGAGUUUAGUUCAGCCACAGUGACUAUAUUAGUGUAUUUCAAGAUAAGAAAUAGUUUGACACUUUGUAGAAUGACAUUUUUUGUUUUAUGUAUUUCUAUGCUUUUGAUUUUUUGUGUUUUAUUUUACUUUGAUUUGCUUCUGUUUUUUGUAUGAAAAUUAAUGUUUUCUUUUCUUUUUUAAAAAUAUAAAUAGGACUAUUAGCAAAAAUUCUUAUCUUAAAAAAACUGCUGAAAUUACUAAAAUGAAAAAAAUGAAUUUCAUACAAAAAAAUGUUAAAGAAAAGUUUUGUUUUGUUGUUUUAUAUUACAAAGAAAAAGUACUUAUAUACAUGUACAAAUUGUUUAAAAAAAUAUGAUAUCAAAAGGGAGCUUAAUCUGAAAAGCAAAGAAAAAAGUCUGUAUUUUGUCAUACUAUGAUUCCUAUUUAUAUAUCUUGCCUAAGUAACGUGUUUUGGGGGGAGUGAAAACAGAUUUUAAAGAAAAAAAUUCAUAAAAAGAAUAAUAUUUUGAAAAUGUUGAAAAAAAAAACAUUUAUUUUUUUUUAUUAUUAUUUUUUUUACAAUACACAUAAUCAAAAGGUUUGAGCCCUUUAAGAAAAUUUUAAUUGAAAAAAAAAGGAUAAAAAUGAAUAUGAACUGACCAAAAAAAAUGCUAUGAGACUUAAAUGUGAAAUGUUAUAAAAGAAUUUAUCAAAAAGUACAAAAAAUUAAGUGAACAAUAAUAUAUAAACAGUAAAAAUUCUUUAUGUAAUAUUAAAAGUUUUAUUGCAUGUACAAUCAUAUGUGUAUUCAUUCAUAAUUUGCGUAAAUCUAUAAAUUUUUCUUUACUUUUUCUCAUAUUUUUCUUUUAACAGAUUUGAGUUUUUUUCGUCUGUUUCAUCUAACUGUUACACCUGUAUGCUUCAUUUUUAAAUUUGAAUUCUUUAGUACGAGGACAGAGGUACAAGAAGUGGACACUGACAAGGUGUUUGUCAUCAUUUCAGUUUUUAGCAUCAACACGUAAUAUGAUAUUGAAGGAAAUAAAACUUAAAUUAUAAAAAAAAUGAAGAAAAAAGGAAACCUACUGAUAAACAUUUAUUUUUUGUUCUCUUUAUUUUUUCAGACAAAUAUUUUCGUUCAUGACACUCUCUAUUUUCAUUGAAGCAUUUCUUGUUAAUUAAGGUCAUGUAUUGUUGUUUGGAUCAUGUAUAAAGUUAUGUUUUCUAACAGCUGUGCCAUAUUUGUCAAUGUUUCACAUUUUUAUUACCAUUUUACAACUACAAAUUUAUGUGUCAUCCUGAAAUUUAUGAAAUCUCAUGGGGAGAACAAAAAAAUAAAAAGUUAAAAAACGAUAAAUCAGAGAAUUCCGUUUCAAUUUUGUUUCUAAUUAAUAUGAAAUCUUCUUUACACAAAGGUUAUGACUUAGAAAUAGUGUCUACUGGUAAAGUUUGCCUGACUUGGAAGGAUUUUUUUUCUUAUGAUUUGUUUAGCUUUAGAUCUUUUAUUAUUUUAUUUUUAUCAUUUAUGUAAAGAGUAUUAUUAUGAAUUAUUACUUAUAUAUUGAGACCUAAACAAAAACUCAAACACAUAAAAAAAAACCAAAAACAACAACAAUAUAAAUUUAACAAAUAUAACAAAAAAAGAAGAAAAAACAAUUAAUUUUGUCCAUAGACAUUAUGAACAUAAUAAGGUUUUAAAAGCUUUUAUUUUCAUUUAAUGGAGAUGUUAAAAUGAUACUUAAAUCAGAAUGCGUUUUUUUGGAGGGAGGGGGGAAAUGGUUUUUAUUAACUACAUAAUGUAUGAACUUUUGAUUUGUAAUGUUUAACUUCAUAGUGUAUAGGGAUUUGGAGAAAAAAAUACAAAAAAAAUUAUAAAAAUGAAUGAAUGAGGAAGUAAAGAUAUUAUUGCAUCUUCAUCUUUCUUAUUUUAUAUCAUACUAUAAAAAUGUUUUAAAAAAGAUAA